UACGUAGGGUGCGAGCGUUAAUCGGAAUUACUGGGCGUAAAGCGUGCGCAGGCGGCGCGUUAAGACAGGUGUGAAAGCCCCGAGCUUAACUUGGGAAUUGCGCUUGUGACUGGCGUGCUGGAGUGUGGCAGAGGGAGGUGGAAUUCCACGUGUAGCAGUGAAAUGCGUAGAGAUGUGGAGGAACACCGAUGGCGAAGGCAGCCUCCUGGGCCAGCACUGACGCUGAGCCGCGAAAGCCAGGGGAGCGAACGGG
rnacentral:rRNA from 1 species